CCAGGGGGCCGGGCAGCCGCGUGCCGCAAGGUGCGAGGAAAGUCCGGGCUCCACGAAGCAAGGGUGGCGGGUAACGCCCGCCGCGGGCAACCGUAGGGAAAGUGCCACAGAGAGCAUUCCGCCGAUGGAGGGCAACCUCACAGGCAAGGGUGAAAGGGUGCGGUAAGAGCGCACCGGGGGGCCGGCAACGGUCUUCGCACGGCAAACCCCACCCGGAGCAAGGCCGAAUAGGGGCGGCGCGUCCUCGCGCAAGCGGGGGCAGGGGUGUUUCGCCCCGACCGCCCGGGUUGGUCGCUUGAGCGGCGGAGCAAUCCGUCGCCCAGAUGAAUGGCUGCCCCCGCCGAUACGGUCUGGGCCAGGGAAACCUGGGGCCGGAUACCGUCGGCGGGACAGAACCCGGCUUACAGGCUCCCUGGCAAA
rnacentral:RNase_P_RNA from 2 species